rnacentral:rRNA from 1 species
AUCCUGGCUCAGGAUGAACGCUAGCGGCAGGCCUAACACAUGCAAGUCGAGGGGUAACAGGGAGCUUGCUCUGCUGACGACCGGCGCACGGGUGCGUAACGCGUAUAGAAUCUACCUUGUACUGAGGAAUAGCCUUUGGAAACGAAGAUUAAUGCCUCAUAGUAUGUUAAGUUCGCAUGAACACUACAUUAAAGGUUACGGUAUAAGAUGACUAUGCGUUCUAUUAGCUAGAUGGUGUGGUAACGGCACACCAUGGCGACGAUAGAUAGGGGCCCUGAGAGGGGGAUCCCCCACACUGGUACUGAGACACGGACCAGACUCCUACGGGAGGCAGCAGUGAGGAAUAUUGGACAAUGGAGGCAACUCUGAUCCAGCCAUGCCGCGUGCAGGAAGACUGCCCUAUGGGUUGUAAACUGCUUUUAUACAGGAAGAAACACUCUCACGUGUGAGAGCUUGACGGUACUGUAAGAAUAAGGAUCGGCUAACUCCGUGCCAGCAGCCGCGGUAAUACGGAGGAUCCAAGCGUUAUCCGGAAUCAUUGGGUUUAAAGGGUCCGUAGGUGGAUAAUUAAGUCAGAGGUGAAAUCCUGCAGCUCAACUGUAGAAUUGCCUUUGAUACUGGUUGUCUUGAGUUAUUAUGAAGUAGUUAGAAUAUGUAGUGUAGCGGUGAAAUGCAUAGAU